rnacentral:rRNA from 1 species
GACGAACGCUGGCGGCGUGCCUAAUACAUGCAAGUUGAGCGAUGAAGAUUGGUGCUUGCACCAAUUUGAAGAGCAGCGAACGGGUGAGUAACGCGUGGGGAAUCUGCCUUUGAGCGGGGGACAACAUUUGGAAACGAAUGCUAAUACCGCAUAACAACUUUAAACAUAAGUUUUAAGUUUGAAAGAUGCAAUUGCAUCACUCAAAGAUGAUCCCGCGUUGUAUUAGCUAGUUGGUGAGAUAAAGGCUCACCAAGGCGAUGAUACAUAGCCGACCUGAGAGGGUGAUCGGCCACAUUGGGACUGAGACACGGCCCAAACUCCUACGGGAGGCAGCAGUAGGGAAUCUUCGGCAAUGGACGAAAGUCUGACCGAGCAACGCCGCGUGAGUGAAGAAGGGUUUCGGAUCGUAAAACUCUGUUGGUAGAGAAGAACGUUGGUGAGAGUGGAAAGCUCAUCAAGUGACGGUAACUACCCAGAAAGGGACGGCUAACUACGUG